rnacentral:rRNA from 1 species
UACAGAGGGGGCAAGCGUUGUUCGGAAUUACUGGGCGUAAAGGGCGCGUAGGCGGCCCGCUAAGUCGAACGUGAAAUCCCUGGGCUCAACCCAGGAACUGCGUCCGAUACUGGCAGGCUUGAAUCCGGGAGAGGGAUGUGGAAUUCCAGGUGUAGCGGUGAAAUGCGCAGAUAUCAGGAGGAACACCGAUGGCGAAGGCAGCUCGCUGGGACGGUACUGACGCUGAGGCGCGAAAGCGUGGGGAGCAAACAGG